AACGAACGCUGGCGGCAGGCCUAACACAUGCAAGUCGAGGGGCAGCACAGGUAGCAAUACUAGGUGACGACCGGCGCACGGGUGAGUAACGCGUAUGCAACCUACCUAUAACUGGAGAAUAGCCCCCGGAAACGGAGAUUAAUGUUCCAUAAUGUUCAGAGACUGCAUAGUUUUUGGACUAAAGCUCCGGCGGUUAUAGAUGGGCAUGCGUGCCAUUAGCUUGUUGGUGAGGUAACGGCUCACCAAGGCUACGAUGGCUAGGGGGUCUUAAAGGAUGAUCCACCACACUGGUACUGAGACACGGACCAGACUCCUACGGGAGGCAGCAGUGAGGAAUAUUGGUCAAUGGGGGCAACCCUGAACCAGCCAUGCCGCGUGGAGGAAGACGGCCCUAUGGGUUGUAAACUCCUUUUGUACGGGAAUAAUAGCACCUACGUGUAGGUGUAUGAAGGUACUGUACGAAUAAGCAUCGGCUAACUCCGUGCCAGCAGCCGCCGUAAGAC
rnacentral:rRNA from 1 species